UCAGUAUUAGGAACUGUUGGCUAGGUGGGUCAGUAUUAGGAACGGUUGGCUAGGUGGGUCAGUAUUAGGAACUGUUGGCUAGGUGGGUCAGUAUUAGGAACUGUUGGCUAGGUGGGUCAGUAUUAGGAACUGUUGGCUAGGUGGGUCAGUAUUAGGAACUGUUGGCUAGGUGGGUCAGUAUUAGGAACUGUUGGCUAGGUGGGUCAGUAUUAGGAACUGUUGGCUAGGUGGGUCAGUAUUAGGAACUGUUGGCUAGGUGGGUCAGUAUUAGGAACUGUUGGCUAGGUGGGUCAGUAUUAGGAACUGUUGGCUAGGUGGGUCAGUAUUAGGAACUGUUGGCUAGGUGGGUCAGUAUUAGGAACUGUUGGCUAGGUGGGUCAGUAUUAGGAACUGUUGGCUAGGUGGGUCAGUAUUAGGAACUGUUGGCCAGGUGGGUCAGUAUUAGGAACUGUUGGCUAGGUGGGUCAGUAUUAGGAACUGUUGGCUAGGUGGGUCAGUAUUAGGAACUGUUGGCCAGGUGGGUCAGUAUUAGGAACUGUUGGCCAGGUGGGUCAGUAUUAGGAACUGUUGGCCAGGUGGGUCAGUAUUAGGAACUGUUGGCUAGGUGGGUCAGUAUUAGGAACUGUUGGCUAGGUGGGUCAGUAUUAGGAACUGUUGGCUAGGUGGGUCAGUAUUAGGAACUGUUGGCGAGGUGGGUCAGUAUUAGGAACUGUUGGCGAGG